rnacentral:rRNA from 1 species
GAUGAACGCUGGCGGCGUGCCUAAUACAUGCAAGUCGAGCGAACGGACGAGAAGCUUGCUUUUCUGAUGUUAGCGGCGGACGGGUGAGUAACACGUGGAUAACCUACCUAUAAGACUGGGAUAACUUCGGGAAACCGGAGCUAAUACCGGAUAAUAUUUUGAACCGCAUGGUUCAAAAGUGAAAGACGGUCUUGCUGUCACUUAUAGAUGGAUCCGCGCUGCAUUAGCUAGUUGGUAAGGUAACGGCUUACCAAGGCAACGAUGCAUAGCCGACCUGAGAGGGUGAUCGGCCACACUGGAACUGAGACACGGUCCAGACUCCUACGGGAGGCAGCUGUAGGGAAUCUUCCGCAAUGGGCGAAAGCCUGACGGAGCAACGCCGCGUGAGUGAUGAAGGUCUUCGGAUCGUAAAACUCUGUUAUUAGGGAAGAACAUAUGUGUAAGUAACUGUGCACAUCUUGACGGUACCUAAUCAGAAAGCCACGGCUAACUACGUG